ensembl:lncRNA
GGCAUUUCUGAAGACUUCCUCACAGUCUGGUGGUAUAAACUUUGACAAAAACUUUUUCUCAGAUCAGUUUGACUUUCUGUCUUUUUUUUUUUUCCCAGUCAAAAGAACACUGACGGAGCAGGUCCAGGGGAUGCAAACCCAGACCCGGCUGCGUCUGAAGUCUAAGCUUCUUCCCAUUGCUUCUCAUAGAGGAAGACUGCUAAUAGCAAACUAGGAACACAGACACUACCCUCACGGAUGAACUGUAGAAGAGCCAUCCUCCAUGUUGCCGCGGUCCUGAUGGUCAAGUCCGCCAAGUGCUCCUGACAGGGCCAGUCCAGAGGACAGUCAGAGGAAUUCAAAGGAAGAAAGAAGCUAGAACACUCAAAUACAGAGGAACAUGGAGAGCUCAGGGCCUCCCAGUGGCGCUAGUGGUAAAGAAUCUGCCUGCCAACACAGGAGAGGGGAGAGAUGUGGGCUCUGCCUCUGGGUCGGGAAGAUCCCCUGGAGGAGAGCACGGCAAGCCACUCCAUAUUCCUGCCUGGAGAACUGCGGCAGGUGAGUUUUCAUUGCAGCACAUGGGAUCUAGAAUGUGUGGACUUAGCUAACCCUCGGCAUGUGAGAUCUUAUUUCCUCCAUCAGGGAUUAAACCCACGUCUCUUGCAUUGGAAGGCAGAUUCUUAACCACUGGACCACCAGGGAAGUCCUCAGUUUCUGCCUUUAAGGUUAUCUGCAAAUGGGAGGAGAAGAGAAAGAAAAUGAAAGAUCAAUUAGCG